rnacentral:piRNA from 1 species
CGCUUAAGGUACAUGUUGGGUGGCC